GGUAAGAUGGCUGAAUUAGGCGGUAGGUUGUAAACCUAUUUAUGGGAAACCUCCCUCUUUCCA
rnacentral:tRNA from 1 species